GGCCAUGUAGCGCCUGAGUCAAUAUGAAGUUGAACUGAGGCUAAUACUACCUGGUUAUCCUCUAUUUUAACUUCAUAUCAACUCAGGCGCUACAUGGCC